GGGGAUAUAGCUCAAUUGGCAGAGUGCUUGCCUCGAACGCACAAAGCCCUGGGUUCAAUUCCCAGCACCA
rnacentral:tRNA from 1 species